rnacentral:rRNA from 1 species
AUGCGUUCCUUGAGAAAGCGAAAAAAGUUGAAAGAUGAUGGUAGCAAUUACACGGACUGGGUCCGUAACCUGAGGAUUAUCCUCAUUGCUGCAGAGAAGAAUUACGUCCUGGAAGCACCGCUGGGUGCCACGCCUGCUGCUGAUGCAACUGACGACGUUAAGAAUGUCUGGCAGAGCAAAGAUGAUGACUACUCGAUAGUUCAGUGUGCCAUGAUUUACGGCUUAGAACCGGGUCUUCAACGACGUUUUGAACGUCAUGGGGCAUAUGAGAUGUUCCAGGAGUUGAAGUUAAUAUUUCAAGCAAAUGCCUGGAUUGAGAGAUAUGAAGUCUCCAAUAAGUUCUAUAGCUGCAAGAUGGAAGCGAAUAGUUCUGUCAGUGAACACAUACUCAAAAUGUCUAGGUAUAAUAAUCACUUGAUUCAACUGGGAGUUAAUCUUCCUGAUGAUAGUGUCAUUGACAGAAUUCUCCAAUCACUGCCACCAAGCUACAAGAGCUUCGUGAUGAACUAUAAUAUGCAAGGGAUGGACAAGACUAUUCCCGAGCUCUUCGCAAUGCUAAAAGCCGCGGAGGUAGAAAUCAAGAAGGAGCAUCAAGUGUUGAUGGUUAACAAGACCACCAGUUUCAAGAAAAAGGGCAAAGGGAAGAAGAAGGGGAACUUCAAGAAGAACAACAAACAAGUUGCUGCUUUAGAGAAGAAACCCAAGUCUGGACCAAAGCCUGAAACUGAGUGCUUCUACUGCAAGCAGACUGGGCAUUGGAAGCGGAACUGCCCCAAGUAUUUGGCGGAUAAGAAGGAUGGCAAAGUGAACAAAGGAACUACGGAUUAA